UGCGUGAAAUAUGAGUAUUUGAGAAGAGGAAGAGACAAAUAGAAUAAGGGUAAAAAGGUAAUAUAAAAAAUAUGAAAUUCCAUUCCAUUGGAUACACCCCAAAUUAGGGGGAAUGAAAAAUUGGAGGAUUGAGUGGUAUACAAUGGAAUUGGUUCCAUUGGGUUCCAUUCCAUUCCAUCAGCUUUUUGCAAAUCCAAACAAUGGAAUUCAAUUAUUUACCUUUUCAUUCCAUUCCAUUCCACCAUAUACCACCAAUCCAAA
rnacentral:lncRNA from 1 species